GUGAAGCCAAGCUUGCUUGGUGGAUCAGUGGCGAACGGGUGAGUAACACGUGAGCAACCUGCCCUGGACUCUGGGAUAAGCGCUGGAAACGGUGUCUAAUACUGGAUAUGAGCUCUCAUCGCAUGGUGGGGGUUGGAAAGAUUUUUCGGUCUGGGAUGGGCUCGCGGCCUAUCAGCUUGUUGGUGAGGUAAUGGCUCACCAAGGCGUCGACGGGUAGCCGGCCUGAGAGGGUGACCGGCCACACUGGGACUGAGACACGGCCCAGACUCCUACGGGAGGCAGCAGUGGGGAAUAUUGCACAAUGGGCGGAAGCCUGAUGCAGCAACGCCGCGUGAGGGAUGACGGCCUUCGGGUUGUAAACCUCUUUUAGCAGGGAAGAAGCGAGAGUGACGGUACCUGCAGAAAAAGCGCCGGCUAACUACGUGCCAGCAGCCGCGGUAAUACGUAGGGCGCAAGCGUUAUCCGGAAUUAUUGGGCGUAAAGAGCUCGUAGGCGGUUUGUCGCGUCUGCUGUGAAAUCCCGAGGCUCAACCUCGGGCCUGCAGUGGGUACGGGCAGACUAGAGUGCGGUAGGGGAGAUUGGAAUUCCUGGUGUAGCGGUGGAAUGCGCAGAUAUCAGGAGGAACACCGAUGGCGAAGGCAGAUCUCUGGGCCGUAACUGACGCUGAGGAGCGAAAGGGUGGGGAGCAAACAGGCUUAGAUACCCUGGUAGUCCACCCCGUAAACGUUGGGAACUAGUUGUGGGGACCA
rnacentral:rRNA from 1 species